AAUAAAUACAGUUUUGCACUAUUCAUAUUUAACGUUUGACCGUUAGUAUUAUUUGAAAAAAUUUUAUGAUUAAUAUUUUUAUUGUUAUUAGAUGAUAAAACAUGAAUAGUACUUUACGUGUGACUAUUUUUUAAAAAAAUAAAACGGACGGUCAAACAUUGGAUACGGUUUUCCACGGUUGUACUUAUU
rfam:Oryza meridionalis cultivar OR44 (W2112) chromosome 12, whole genome shotgun sequence.